AACGAACGCUGGCGGCAGGCUUAACACAUGCAAGUCGAGCGCCCCGCAAGGGGAGCGGCAGACGGGUGAGUAACGCGUGGGAAUCUACCCAUCUCUACGGAAUAACGCACGGAAACGUGUGCUAAUACCGUAUACGUCCUUCGGGAGAAAGAUUUAUCGGAGAUGGAUGAGCCCGCGUUGGAUUAGCUAGUUGGUGGGGUAAAGGCCUACCAAGGCGACGAUCCAUAGCUGGUCUGAGAGGAUGAUCAGCCACACUGGGACUGAGACACGGCCCAGACUCCUACGGGAGGCAGCAGUGGGGAAUAUUGGACAAUGGGCGCAAGCCUGAUCCAGCCAUGCCGCGUGAGUGAUGAAGGCCCUAGGGUUGUAAAGCUCUUUCACCGGUGAAGAUAAUGACGGUACCUGCAGAAAAAGCCCCGGCUAACUUCGUGCCAGCAGCCGCCGUAAUAC
rnacentral:rRNA from 1 species